AAUAAAUUCAAGUUCAAAUAAUAGCCUGUUUUAUUCAGUUAACUACACUGACAUUGUAAAAUAUCAGCCACAAUCGAGUGUGUGCGACAAAUGAGGAAAAGCUUCACAUUAUUAAGAGAAGCUGGAUAUUUUACAAAAAUCUAUACGUAGAAAAUUCAAUCAUCUGUUUAUCAUUCUAUAACUGUUUUUCCCAGUCCCAUAGACAGUUAUACACUUGACGAAAUUAAGCUUGAUAAAGACUCCCAACACAUUGUAACGUGGCUGAUAAUGUCUGCUCUAGUCUCAAAGCCUAGAUGGGUCAUUUUCAAAAAAUU
rnacentral:lncRNA from 1 species